rnacentral:lncRNA from 1 species
CCUCCACCGUCCCGUCCCUGGAGCAUCGUGAGGGAGGUUAAUCACGGAAUGUGCUCCAACAGGUCAGGAACAAGAGCUGCUUGUACACUGGUGUCCACAAAGAGUCUCAAUCUAUGUUUCAGGAAUUGAAUCCUCACACUGCGACUGUCAGCAAGACUGAGUAUAUCUUACCCUUAUUCUUUGCACCACUGGAAUAUACCACGGGGGGCUAGUAGACAAGUUGUUUACUAGAGAAAGUGAUGUUUGUAGUUGGCUACUGUUUUCUUCUUUAAUUUUACUAGUGUCUUUUCUAUUGUGUUAUUUAUGUGAUAAAAUAUUGCUCUGAGAGCCUUUUUCGUGCUCUAAUAUUUUUCUUGCAAGACAAAUAAUAACUAUUUUUACCAUUAGCCUUGCAAGAGUGAGUGCUCGUUUCAUCCCUCAAAUUAGCAAGUAUUUGUAUAUUCAUUUUACCUUCUGUUUUCAUAAUGCAGAGAUAUUGCCAGUCUGUCAUACGACUUCAUCACAAGAAUAUUCUCUCCUGGGCACUGAUGUAACUUGUUACUUGGUGAUGUAUACCUUGGCCUAUUGAGUUAAUUGACUUCUCCAUGGACACCCCCACCCUCACCCUCACCCUCAUCCUCACCCCUAAAAAAAGGCAAUCAUUUAGUCAUUUUACACCUCCUGGCUCUCUAGUUGGAUGCUCUCUUCAAUUCUAAUGCUUCUAUCACGUAUUACUUUACAGGUAAAUUGUAUUGAUCCCUUUUUUAGUUUUAUAUACAGCUUGGGCCUAGCUUCCAGACCUAUUGCAUGGAACUCUGAUGUCAAUGGGUGAUGUAACUGGUAAUUUUACACGCAGGAGUGCCUUGUCUGGUUGGGUGAGUCAUACGUAGGUCUUCAGACAUAUGGGGUUAUAGCAGGCAGUUGUGGGCAUUUGGAUGGAAUCCAUAAAAGCAUCGGCAAUUCUUUUUGGCUCAAUGAAAAUACUUAUCUGAAUUGUUAGUAGUCUUUACCAGAAAUGCCGCGUUGGGCAUAUCAGCAACUGAACUUUCAAGGUAUAUUCUUGGUAGUCUUCACGCCCGAGCGUGCCUCGAAGUUCUGAAUGAAAUUCAAUGGAAAACUCAUAUGAAUGUUUCUGUUCCAAGGAUGUUAGACUGACAUGAGUAUGAAUUAGAAACAUACAAGGUAUGUAAAACUUUCAAAUAGUUGAUGUUUUGUUGAUUUGUAAAAUUGUCGUGACACGUAAAUGGUGUUCUUAUGAUGCGAC